rnacentral:tRNA from 1 species
UCUUUCGUAGGUUAUUUUUAAACUUUUAGCUUGUGGUGCUAAAAAACUUUGUGUGGGCGAGAGAA